GUUGAAGUACUAAAAAGAUUAAACGACUUCUAUUUAGUUAUUAAAACUUAUUUUGCGGUACAUCAUUGCUGGUAUUUCGUGAGUAAAAAGCGGGAAAAAACUCCACUUCCGGCACUAGUAAUCCGCAUAGGUCAUGGAUAUGAAAAGUUGCUCGAAUGGGCUUGCAAAAACAUUUCAUGACAGUGUUUGUAAUUCAGAUAAGAACAGUGUUAUGUUCCAGAUUUAGUAUAUCGAUUCAAUCCCUCCCAAACAAGUAAAAUAAACGAUACGUAAUAUGGAUUCAAUGAUUCAGAAUCGAGUCAACGAAAAAUACUUGGGUGCAAUUUACAUUUCUCUGGCAAUAAAUUGUGUUCCCCCCAGUUUGAACCUCCCAACUAUGCGAGUAAUUCUGAGGACUUCUUCUGUACCCGCUGCUUCCUGUCCCUACUAAGGAGUUGAGCUGUAAUUUCGUCAAUGCGUGUCGUCAAUUUAUAAACUUAUAUAUUUAUGUAUUUAUUACAUUUAUUCA